GCCAAUGUAGUGCUGUGGUUUGAAUGUUGGUCUAGUAUACUCCAGGAGGCCAGGGUUCAAAUCCCUGCUCAGCCA